AAAAAACCAUAAUAAGCUGUAUCAGUUGUGUUGAGUAAAUAAAAAUAUGUUUUCAUUUUACAUUCCAAUUCUACCAUUAAGUUAUCCCCCUGAUAUUUGAGGCCUGCCAUUGGAUCUCGUGUAUUCUGCCCUUGUCAUUGCCCAACUCUCUUAUGCUUAUCAUAUUUUAGCCUUCUGUAAAAUAAAUGUUUUAUAUAGUAUCAGAGCACGCCAUUUUAAUGUCAUACUUUGUCAGUCAUGUAGAGUGUCAUUCACUGUGAUUUAAUGUUGUUGUCAUUUGUAACUUGUAUGCCACAUUGUAUGCUGCUGUCACUAGAGUCCAGUCGUGUGACUGUCCUGUCGGUUUUUUGGAACUUCUAAGUUUAUUGGCAAAAUGUAUGCACAAAGUUUAAAAGCUAAAUUAUUUGAUUUGAUAAACUGUUGCUGUUACAGAUUUCAUUUGUAAUUACAAAAGCAUUUUUUUUU